ACCAGAGGUAUUACACUCCUGUCGCUAUCCGUAAAAACAAAAACUUGUUGAGCAAACAUCAAACUUUGAAGAUGCUAGAAUUACUGUUAAUCUCAAAAUUAACGAACGUUUUCUGCUUUAAAAAAUUUCAUCCUUCGUAAAAUUUUGGGUACUGCUAUGUCAACAAUUUGGUAGUUGCUUCAAGUCAUUCUGUUAACAAAAAUUAUGCUUAAUCCGCCAAAACUUGGUCUCUUAAGUUGAACAAUCCAAUUCAAUUGACCACUUGUGUCAGAAUAUGAUUGUCAAUUAAUAUCAUAGUUCCUACAACUAAAUUUUCUAAACAUAUACACGUCUAACUUUUUCUUACACAAAAAGCUAGAUUGCUUGUAAAACGGAACGAACAAUUAACCGAAUAAACGAAACUCAAUAUGUAUAAAUUAACGCA